GGCGAAACUUCGGGGGUCGUCGAGGGUUCUCGACCCUCCCUUCCCCUCUCUCGCCCGCUCGCUCCCUCACCGCCGGCGUUCUCGCCGCCAGCUACGGACGGGGCACACUGCGCAGGGUCCCAGCCCCGCCUCUCACCCGAACGUCUUCGCUCCCCUCACCGGGUAGGCGUCGCGCUCUACUGGCACCACCCCGGCCCUCGCGCUCUACUGGCACCGGACCGGCGCGGGGUGGCGCGGAGACCUGUCCCGGCCAGGAGACCGUUCCGUGCUAUACCGGUGAAGAUGCUCUUUGCAUAGCUCAAGCUCCAAACUGAUGGAUUCUGAUGACAAGAAGUUUGGAAAUGGGCCAAGGGAGCUUACUGGUGCUGUUGAUUUGAUUAACCACUACAAACUGCUGCCACACCAUGAUUUCUUUUGCAAGAAACCUUUGCCACUGGCAAUAUCAGAUACACAUUAUCUUCACAAUAUUGUGGGAGACACUGAAAUUCGAAAAGGAGAAGGAAUGGAGUUAGAUCAACUUGUUCAGAAUGCAUAUAUGAGGGAUAAACCUGCUUAUAUUCAGCCCUUCGAUAUGGAAACACUGGGGCAAGCGUUCCAACUUCGAGAAACAGCUCCUGUGGUUUUGCCCUCUACUGAAAAGGGUAUACCGACUAUUUCGGGUAAACCAAAAAGCGAGUCCAAGGACAAAGAGAAGAAGCAUAAAAAGCACAAAGACAGAGAGAGGGACAAAGACAAGGAACAUAAGAAGCACAAACAUCGGCAUAAGGAUCGGAGUAAGGACAAAGAUAAAGACAAAGACAAGGAUAAGAAAAAAGAUAAGAGUGGUCAUCAUGAUUCUGAUUCAAAGAAACAUCAUGAAAAGAAGAGGAAGCACGAGGGAACUGAAGAUUCAGCAGAUGUGCAUAAGCACAAGAAGAGUAAGCACAAGAGUUCCAAAACCGAUGAGAUGGGGAAUGGACUUAUUAGUUAACACUUCCUAGUUCUAGCUUCAAUCCUUGUAAUUUGCUGUUAAAAGGAGACUGAUGGUCUCUGCCAUCAAAACCCUGUGCAGAAUAGUGAUGACAACAUAAGUUGGAGAUCUUGAUAAGAACGCGAUAAAGAAGUAUUUUUGCAGAGUCCAUUCCGAGGAAAAUUAAAUUACUUAAUACAGGACUAAUCCUUCGAACUGUGCAACCUUCUGUUCCUCCCUGACGAAUUGGUUGUAGGAGCGGUUGAAAGGAUAUGCCAUGAGAUUGUUUCGAUUGCAGGGCCAGCGCACUUAUUGAUACUAGGCUUCUUAUUUAACUCCUAAUUUCGGAUGUAGCGUGCAUGAGUAUCCUGUUGAGUAGCUGUGGAUGGUUUUACAGUUGGUCUAGAGAUGUAGUUGAGGGCAGGGAAUUGGAAAGAAUUUCGUGUUCCCGUCGUACUGACCUUGGUUGAUAGAGAGUUUAACCAGUAGCUAAAUUAAAUGUUGCUAGUCAGUUCCAAGUUUAUUCUGCGUGGAAUGAAUUGGAGUCAAAUUAGCACACUGCUUAUUUAACCAUGAUAAAGAUCUUGUUAUUACAAAGUAUAAUUAUUGGUUCGUGGUCGGACCUUUUG